UCUAGAACUUAAGAUAUGGGUUGAACAGUGAACAAUGUCUGGGUUGUAGGACAAAUUCCGACUUCUCCGUUGUUGCUACCAUUUGAACUCUAAAAUGACACUUUUAAAUCUUGGACUUUUCAUGAAAGUUUUAGGCCUAUGUUUUAGCAUUCUAUA
rfam:Populus trichocarpa scaffold_10_contig_131, whole genome shotgun sequence.